UUAAGCAGCAAAGAGCUGAGUUACUGGCAGCUCCCACCGUUCUCCUGACACCAGUUUGCUAACCUCUUGCCACUCCCUGAUAACCCCACCAUUAGGAGAUGGCUGCACAUGUUUCUGCAGCUAAGCGUGUGACCCCUGGUGAUGCUUCUCAGGCUGCAUAAAGGCAGAGCAGCCUCCUGUGCUCUGCUCUGGUGACUGCAGCAGAGAAGCACGAACUCUGAUAAAUCAUUCCCAGGUGGAGGUCACUGUAGCAGAGAAGUGAUGCCCUGUGACAUGUCCCGCUGCGGUGCUAAGCAUGAUCUGCUGUGAUACACAGGGCUUGCCAGGAAGAUUUUGCCUUAUUCCAACUCAGUUACAUCCAUAAGGAUGGAGGAGCAGCUCGUGUGAAUGCCAUGUAGGAAGGAUGGCAGAUAACAGCCAUCCACUCCCAUCUACAAUCACUCGAAUAUUUUGAAGAGAAGCUCAAGAAUCUCAGAGUCACUGAUUAAAAAAAAAAAAGAACCAAGUAUCUCAGACAACUGUAAUUUAAAGAGCACAUCAAAGGAUCUGUACAGCUCCACCAAGAGAUGAACAAGCGCUCCGUGGCAGUGAUGAGGCAGUUGUUGCAGAAUACAAGAGACUUAAAGGAACUGGCUACAGCUGAGCAAGUGAUGCGAUUGUGCAGGGAGAGAUGAGAGCUAAACAAAUAUUGCAACCAAUUCCUGCGCAGUGAGUUGAUUCCAGCAAGAAAAGCUGUUCAGACGUUAGCUUUACCCAUUGUGAAUGAGAGCAUGCCCUCUGCUAAUAGACACAAACUGCUCAAUCACUGAUUUGUAUGUUUCGGCUUCAGUGUGUUCUCAGACUCCUAAUUUUUCCUCCAUUUUUUAUUUUAAAUGCACAGCAUUAAUAAUAAUAAUAAUAAUAAUAAAAACUUAAACCCAGAACUCCGUACAUGUACAGAAAAAAAAGAAAGUGAUACCCAUUGGUUUAAUGGGCAUUGCUGCCAGUGUUCACAUUUUCAACCCAACCCAGCAUUCCUUGCCUCUCAUGCACAAUGCUCUCAGUGCUGUUAGGAAGAAGAGCACCCUGAUGCUCAAGCUAACAAACCUGUCACAUGGCUUCAGCCCAAUUUUGUCCUGGGUUCACUUCACUACGGUGGGUAAUUUAGCUUAAAGUGGAGGUGAAUCCCACUGUAUAUCCCCUAUCAGCCAGCAGUGCUCAGAGGCUGCUUAAUGGAAUGAGCACUUCCU
rnacentral:lncRNA from 1 species